rnacentral:snRNA from 8 species
GCGGUUCACCCAGGGCGAGGCUCAGCCAUUGCACUCCGGCUGUGCUGACCCCUGCGAAUUUCCCAAAUGUGGAAAUCUCGAUUGCAUAAUUAAUGGUAGUGGGGGACUGCGUUCGCGCUCGCCCCUG